GCACAUCUCUGUCUGUUCUCCUCGCAGCGAGUAAGAAUCUAAUUCUCUUGUCUUUCUCUUCUUUUUGUGAUGUUAUAAGUAUUUUAGGUUGAUUAGAACACGGCGAGCAGGUCGCAUGAUGAGCAAAUUACGUUUUUAUAUUAAGGCAACAACUUACAGGCAGCUCCAGCUGCUGGUGUUGGAUGUAGUGUUGGAUGUAGUUCAUUCUCGGUGUUUCGGAAGGAUUUUUUACGGUAAACCACACGAGAAUGGCCUAAGUGGACUGUUGAACCAUGUUGCAUACAAAGCACCACAAAGGGAGGUCGGCAGAUGUGGUGACUGACUUCAAAGGGAGCUGCUGCCAAAGAUGCCAAGGAGGAUGAACCCUCAUUGGGACUUGAGCACAUUUCUACCUUGUCCAGAUUUGAU